rnacentral:rRNA from 1 species
CGCGAAGAACCUUACCAACUCUUGACAUCCCAUUGACCGCUUGAGAGAUCAAGUUUUCCCUUCGGGGACAAUGGUGACAGGUGGUGCAUGGUUGUCGUCAGCUCGUGUCGUGAGAUGUUGGGUUAAGUCCCGCAACGAGCGCAACCCCUAUCCUUAGUUGCCAGCAUUCAGUUAGGCACUCUAGGGAGACUGCCGGUGACAAACCGGAGGAAGGUGGGGAUGACGUCAAAUCAUCAUGCCCCUUAUGAGUUGGGCUACACACGUGCUACAAUGGACGGUACAAAGGGCAGCGAGACCGCGAGGUGGAGCCAAUCCCAUAAAGCCGUUCCCAGUUCGGAUUGCAGGCUGCAACUCGCCUGCAUGAAGUCGGAAUCGCUAGUAAUCGCAGGUCAGCAUACUGCGGUGAAUACGUUCCCGGGUCUUGUACACACCGCCCGUCACACCACGAGAGUUUGCAACACCCGAAGCCGGUGAGUAACNAACAAGGAGCCAGCCGUCGAAGU